AAACAGUGCAUGGACUCACUUACACACACAAACUCUAGCUUACUUUGCCACAGAAUUUAUUCUAGAAUAAGCUGACGUGAUACUCUUGUGUCUCUGCAGUCCGAAGAGAUCCGCUGCUGUGAACAGUGUCGAUAGCACAGCCCUAAAACGGCCAGACACCAACGAAUCAAUCAACUCCUCCAUGUCGAACGGCACCACUGAUGCAGAUCAGUUUGACAGUCAUGAUGAGAAAGAUGAUGAUGGCGAGGGUGAAUCUGUGGAAGAACA